UUUCCUUUGAGAUUCAGAGCACUUUUGUGCUUUUUUUCUUCCAGGAAGGGGCCAGACGCUGUUCACUCUCCCAUUACCAGCGAAAUCUCGCAUGCGUAAGCAGCCACUUCCCAUCGAUUGCCAGGAAAGCAGCUGCCAGACCUAAUGUCGAAGGAGAGCACAGGAAUCCAGCUGUUCUCCAUUGCCAGACAGUUUGUGAGAGGUUUAACUGCAUCUUCCAUUGGCUCCAGCAGCUGGUGUGGAUGCUGCCCCAAGAGGAGACUUAAAUCAUCCCGCCCUAUACAACCUUGACAUCAGUUUCAACCGAAGCACUGCGUAUGAAUUUGAAACCAUACCAUAUGUAUGUAUAUGAUGAACUCUUCAGUGGAUCACAGCGUUCCACAAGGAAAAGCCUGAAACUUCCCAUACUGG